AGAUGGCACAUUUCCUUCCCUGUCCAUAGACUGAUAGAGCCUGGAGAACACAGAUAGGAAACUGGCAGGGAAGGCGACAGCCUCGAGAAAAUGGAUGAGCUCCUUCGAAUCCAGCAAACAUUCUUUGUUCUCACCUGUGAGGCUCGACAAGAUUAGUUACACAGGAUUGCCCAGUCUCUGACUGCCUCAUUCGAAAGUACCAUGAAGUUCACAAAG
rnacentral:lncRNA from 1 species